rnacentral:rRNA from 1 species
UGCAACGCGAAGAACCUUACCAAGGCUUGACAUACACCGGAAAAGUGCAGAGAUGUGCUCCCCGUAAGGUCGGUGUACAGGUGGUGCAUGGUUGUCGUCAGCUCGUGUCGUGAGAUGUUGGGUUAAGUCCCGCAACGAGCGCAACCCUCGUCCCAUGUUGCCAGCGGGUUAUGCCGGGGACUCAUGGGAGACUGCCGGGGUCAACUCGGAGGAAGGUGGGGAUGACGUCAAAUCAUCAUGCCCCUUAUGUCUUGGGCGUCACGCAUGCUACAAUGGCCGGUACAAAGGGCUGCGAUACCGCAAGGUGGAGCGAAUCCCAAAAAGCCGGUCUCAGUUCGGAUCGGGGUCUGCAACUCGACCCCGUGAAGUCGGAGUCGCUAGUAAUCGCAGAUCAGCAACGCUGCGGUGAAUACGUUCCCGGGCCUUGUACACACCGCCCGUCAAGUCAUGAAAGUCGGUAACACCCGAAGCCGGUGGCC